UUUCUUAUUUUAGAUUUUUUUUUAAAAAUUAGUGAAACGAAAUGAAAAUCUUCAUGUUAUUGAAAUUCUUUUUCUAAGGCAUACACAUGGAUCUAAUUUUAUGAGACUAUUUAAUAGCAAGAAACUGGCUCAUUUAGUAGCGUGGAUCAAAAUAAAAAUAAAAUAUUCAAAGAUGAAGAAAGAACUAUAACUAAUUGUCUAAUUCAAGCUAGCAAAAUAUUUUAUGAAUGCUACAGAAUGGGCACAUGGAACAUAUUCAAUUGAUAAAUUUUUCAUGUAUUUAAAAUAUUUAUAAAAAUAAUUAAAACUGUUCCAAUUUUUAUAUAAAUCGCCU